rnacentral:RNase_P_RNA from 1 species
GGAGUAGGUCAGAUGGUCGCUCCGCCCGAGAGGGCGGGGAGGAAAGUCCGGGCUCCGCAGGGCGCGAUGCUCGCUAACGGCGAGGGGGAGCGAUCCCACGGAAAGUGCCACAGAAAAGAAAACGCCGACCUCCGGGUCGGCAAAGCUGAAACGGUGGUGUAAGAGACCACCAGCUCCGCAGAGAUGCGGAGGCUUGGCAAACCCCAUCGGGAGCAAGGCCGAAUAGGGAGGGGUAGAAGCUGCCCGCCGACCCUCCGGGUAAAGGCCGCACGAGGUGCGCGGCAACGCGCAUCCCAGAUAGAUGACCAUCCGAGACAGAACCCGGCUUAUAGACCUGCUCCAGAU